UACGGGGGGGGCAAGCGUUGUUCGGAAUUACUGGGCGUAAAGGGCUCGUAGGCGGCCAACUAAGUCAGACGUGAAAUCCCUCGGCUUAACCGGGGAACUGCGUCUGAUACUGGAUGGCUUGAGUUUGGGAGAGGGAUGCGGAAUUCCAGGUGUAGCGGUGAAAUGCGUAGAUAUCUGGAGGAACACCGGUGGCGAAGGCGGGUCUCUGGGCGAGUGAACU
rnacentral:rRNA from 1 species